UGACAUUAUGUACCUUCUGGGUUUGCCCAUGAGGUAUUAAUGAGAGGGGAAGGAAGCCCCAGCUAUUAUGUGAUCACAUAAUGGCUAAAGCCCAUGUCCUGCCCAAAAAAGCCUGAUCCUGGAUUUGAGGUUGUGGUUUUUUAAUGUUUGCUCUUUCUUGAUCUUAGGUGAACAAGUAUUGAUACUAAGAUGAACAUGGCCAAGCUUGGAAGUCACCCUAAAAUGACCAUUGGCUACUCAAUAAACUCAAUUUCUGGCAUAGUGUGGCAGAAGACAUGGACAGGGAAGUCUGGGGACAGUACUUGAGAUUAAUUUCAGGAAUCACCCAUCAUAGAUUUUUUCCAAAACAUGUCUGCAUCCGAAGCUGCUGAGUGUCUUGAAUUUAUGUCAAGCUUGAACUGUCCCAGAGAUCAAUCACAAAUAUGGAAAAAAUUGUCCCAAGAAGGAAGCUCCCUGGCCAAUGAACACUCAUAAAUCUUCAAGAAAACUUGUAGAUCAAAGACUUUACUGAUAAGGAUUGACAUCAGAAAUGGAAUUUUUCUCUCUACAUAAUCAAGAGCAAUCCAGCCUCAAAUUGCUUUGCUGCCAAAGAAUUAUCUUUCUCUCCUCACAAAGAUACUGGUGCUUGUAUUGGCAGAGGAACAGAAAUGCUAAAGGCCCAGAAGAAUAUACUCUGAAAUUUGGAAGCACCUGCCAAGAAGCCCUUGGCAACUCUCAUGCUCCCUGAAUCCCCUAUUCAUCAUAUGCUUCAAUAAAUCCCAUAGAAAUAUACAGGACUUACAUCUUGGGAUUUGUUUUCCCCUUUUAGUGGUACAGGGAU